AGAAGAAGAAGAAAAAGAAGAAGAAGAAGAAGAAGAAGGAUUCUAGUUCUUCCUCCGCUUCGUCCUCCUCGGACAGUGAAGAUGACAAGAAGAAGAAGAAAAAGAAGAAGAAAAAGAAGAAGAAGAAGAAGAAGAAGGAUUCCAGUUCUUCCUCU